UCCUGACUGACCGAUAGUGAACCAGUACCGUGAGGGAAAGGCGAAAAGAACCCCGGCGAGGGGAGUGAAAAAGAACCUGAAACCGUGUACGUACAAGCAGUGGGAGCACGCUUAGGCGUGUGACUGCGUACCUUUUGUAUAAUGGGUCAGCGACUUAUAUUCUGUAGCAAGGUUAACCGAAUAGGGGAGCCGAAGGGAAACCGAGUCUUAACUGGGCGUUAAGUUGCAGGGUAUAGACCCGAAACCCGGUGAUCUAGCCAUGGGCAGGUUGAAGGUUGGGUAACACUAACUGGAGGACCGAACCGACUAAUGUUGAAAAAUUAGCGGAUGACUUGUGGCUGGGGGUGAAAGGCCAAUCAAACCGGGAGAUAGCUGGUUCUCCCCGAAAGCUAUUUAGGUAGCGCCUCGUGAAUUCAUCUCCGGGGGUAGAGCACUGUUUCGGCAAGGGGGUCAUCCCGACUUACCAACCCGAUGCAAACUGCGAAUACCGGAGAAUGUUAUCACGGGAGACACACGGCGGGUGCUAACGUCCGUCGUGAAGAGGGAAACAACCCAGACCGCCAGCUAAGGUCCCAAAGUCAUGGUUAAGUGGGAAACGAUGUGGGAAGGCCCAGACAGCCAGGAUGUUGGCUUAGAAGCAGCCAUCAUUUAAAGAAAGCGUAAUAGCUCACUGGUCGAGUCGGCCUGCGCGGAAGAUGUAACGGGGCUAAACCAUGCACCGAAGCUGCGGCAGCGACGCUUAUGCGUUGUUGGGUAGGGGAGCGUUCUGUAAGCCUG
rnacentral:rRNA from 2 species